CUGAGUUCAUGCCCUUCGGGGUAGACCUCCCACCCGUGUAUACCCUACCAUGUUGCUUUGGCGGGCCGCCGCAAGGCCCUGGCUUCGGCUGGGUCGCGCCCGUCAGAGGACCUAAACCCAAACCGUGAGUGUCGUCUGAGUACUAUCUAAUAGUUAAAACUUUCAACAACGGAUCUCUUGGUUCUGGCAUCGAUGAAGAACGCAGCANNNNNNNNNNNNNNNNNNNAUUGCAGAUUCAGUGAAUCAUCGAAUCUUUGAACGCACAUUGCGCCCCUUGGUAUUCCAGGGGGCAUGCCUGUUCGAGCGUCAUUUCAACCCUCACGCCCGGCGUGGUUUUGGGCCCCGUCAGCGAUGGCGGGCCCUAAAGACAGUGGCGGCGCCCGAUGGCCCUGAACGUAUUACAACCCUCGUUACAGGCGCCGGAGGAACGCUGGCCACCAACCCCAACUUUCUAUGG
rnacentral:misc_RNA from 1 species